GGGGAUUUAGCUCAGUGGUAUAAGCGCCUGCCUUGCGAGCAUGCAGUCGUGAGUUCGAGUUUGAUCCCCA
rnacentral:tRNA from 1 species